UACGUAGGGUGCGAGCGUUGUCCGGAAUUAUUGGGCGUAAAGAGCUUGUAGGCGGUUUGUCGCGUCUGCCGUGAAAAUCCGAGGCUCAACCUCGGACUUGCGGUGGGUACGGGCAGACUAGAGUGUGGUAGGGGAGACUGGAAUUCCUGGUGUAGCGGUGAAAUGCGCAGAUAUCAGGAAGAACACCCGUGGCGAAGGCGGUUCUCUGGGACGGUACUGACGCUGAGACGCGAAAGCGUGGGGAGCGAACAGG
rnacentral:rRNA from 1 species